UGUGAUCUCGCGAGGAGUAUCACGUGUCUGCUUUCGUCACACUGGGGUACCGUAAGAACACGUCCACUAAGUUGCGAAGAGGAAGAAGAUCCGCUUUCUUGCUAGCCGGGCCGUGUCAACGUUCAUGUAUGGACCAGGGCCCUCCACACGGCCACUUGAGAGAGAGGAGCGUCGCCACCAUCGAGGGCUAUGGAGAAGCCGAAACGAUGAGGUUCUUCAUCAUCGUCCUCAUCGUCGUUGCCUCCAUGAUUCUGUUGCUUUUGGGGCUCAUAUUGUUCGGAGUCAUGGAAGUCACCUACUAUGAAUACCCAUCCAAGCCGGCGACGUCCAAGUCUCACUGACACCAAAUGGCAAUGGGCCUCACUGAGAGCCCUGUUUGCUAUAAAAGUAUAUUGCGCGCAAUCACGCCUGUCAUCACGCCUGCGUGUUUAGUCUACAUAUUAUUCAUGCGUAUCUCCGCCGAUUACUUUGAGCCUUCUGGCAGCGUUUGUAGCUUUUCAAAGCUCUCUGUUUAUGCGAAACAAACGAAAUAAACUACAUCCAGUGCACCUGAAUGGCAUUCAGGAAUAUAUGCAGGUAUUUAUUUAAGGUCAUCCUAUGGGCCUAGGCAUUCUGCAGAUGUCUGGUUUAAAAGAGAAAAAAAAAACAACUUCAUUAGCAAGAAAAGCUGGCGCUGCGGUGGACGGCGAAAAGUAGCUGGAAAUUGGCCGUUCAUGGGUGAUCGGGCUCCAGAUCAUGCAAACAUCACUGUCAGCGCGUACAUAGACAAGGACCAAAGG